rnacentral:rRNA from 1 species
UACGUAGGGGGCAAGCGUUGUCCGGAAUUCUUGGGCGUAAAGAGCUCGUAGGCGGUCUGUCACGUCGGCUGUGAAAACCCGAGGCUCAACCUCGGGCCUGCAGUCGAUACGGGCAAACUAGAGUGUUGCAGGGGAGACUGGAAUUCCUGGUGUAGCGGUGAAAUGCGCAGAUAUCAGGAGGAACACCGGUGGCGAAGGCGGGUCUCUGGGCCGAUACUGACGCUGAGGAGCGAAAGCGUGGGGAGCAAACAGG